rnacentral:rRNA from 1 species
UCCGUAGGUGGAUAAUUAAGUCAGAGGUGAAAUUCUGCAGCUCAACUGUAGAAUUGCCUUUGAUACUGGUUAUCUUGAGUCAUUAUGAAGUGGUUAGAAUGUGUAGUGUAGCGGUGAAAUGCAUAGAUAUUACACAGAAUACCGAUUGCGAAGGCAGAUCACUAAUAAUGUACUGACACUGAGGGACGAAAGCGUGGGGAGCGAACAGGAUUAGAUACCCUGGUAGUCC